GCAGCUCGUCCGGCCCGCCCGCAGGCCAGCUUCUCUCGGGAGCCUCCACCCAGGCGCAUGGCUCCAUGAAGCAAGAGGAGGAGGCAGAGCGCGAGAGAUCCCGUCCGCCCCAGCCGCGUCUGGGCCAGGAGAAAAGCAAAACCAUAUUCCUGCUGCUGUCAGUUUUGAUGCACUGAGAAAACUUCAGAGACCUAAGCUUUUUCCAGAGAAGAGAAGCUUUACUGGUGUUCCAGCCCUAAGGCUCAUAUGACAUUAACAGACAAGACACUUUUCAGAAAGACAGGUUGUUCUUUUGGGCCACAUCUAAGAAAUCUUUGUCUAGCCAAAAGCCACAAAUAAUUUCUCAUUUUUUGGCUUCUGGAAGAUGUACAGUUAAAUGUUAUAUUUGGGACUGUUAUCUAAUUUGAUUAAAUUGCACUCUACAAUAUGAUAUUUGAAUUGAUGAAAAAUUAGUAAAUGUUAAUAUUUUUUAAAGUAGCCAAAUCUUGCAAUUUAUAUAUAAUAGAGAAGACUAGAAAAUCCCCCAUAUUUAUUUCCUCUUACUUCGUACUACUAAAAUUUGUAUUUAGGCAUUUGGUUUCUCAGAUAAACAUUACAUUCCCCAGUAUAUGGUUCUAUCUGGCUUGGUGACGACAUGUUGAACAUUAAGAUGUGAGCAGAAGUAAUACAUACACACUCUUUUUAAUGUCUUUAAUUGAAUGGGAUAUUGGCCCAUUUUUUCUUCCAGUUUAUUACACUGAAUAUUGACAUGUUAUUUUCCAAUAUUGAGACAAUCAAUGACAAGACUUUAAGAGUAACAAUGUAAAAAUUAUAGAAGUUGUCUGAGUUUAUCAACAAUCCCCUGGAUUAGAACCCCCUACCAGUUCUAGGUCAUCUAAUAUAUAGACAUUGUGUUCAGUAGAAAUAAAUAUAUAUAUUUUUUAAUAUACUUUAAGUUCUAGGAUACAUGUGCACAACAUGCAGGUUUGUUACAUUGGUAUACACAUGCCAUGUUGGUUUGCUGCACCCAUUAACUCAUCAUUUACAUUAGUUAUUUCUCCUAAUGCUAUCCCUCCCCCUGCCCCCCACCCCCCGACAGGCCCUGGGGUGUGAUGUUCCCCACCCUGUGUCCAAGUGUUCUCAUUGCUCAAUUCCCACCUAUGGGAAUACAUUUUUAAAUCAUUUUUAAAGGUGUUAUUACAUUCUGAUUGAACAUUUUCAGAAAGAAUAAAUAAUUUAAUACAAGAAGUGGGCCACUUCAUGUAACAAAACAAACCACCACUACAGCAACAACAACAAAAAACACUAAUGAAUGU
rnacentral:lncRNA from 1 species